rnacentral:tRNA from 1 species
GCCCCCAUAGCUCAGGGGAUAGAGCAACGGCCUCCGGAGCCGUGUGCGCAGGUUCGAAUCCUGCUGGGGGCGCCA